rnacentral:rRNA from 1 species
UACAGAGGUCUCAAGCGUUGUUCGGAUUCAUUGGCUUAAAGGGUGCGUAGGUGGCGGGGUAAGUCAGGUGUGAAAUCUCGGGGCUCAACCCCGAAACUGCACUUGAUACUGCCUUGCUCGAGUACUGGAGAGGAGAUUGGAAUUUACGGUGUAGCAGUGAAAUGCGUAGAUAUCGUAAGGAAGACCAGUGGCGAAGGCGAAUCUCUGGACAGUUACUGACACUGAGGAGCGAAAGCGUGGGGAGCGAACAGG